GCAGUAGCCGCGGGAAUACGUAGGUGGCAAGCGUUGUCCGGAAUUAUUGGGCGUAAAGGGCUCGCAGGCGGUUUCUUAAGUCUGAUGUGAAAGCCCCCGGCUCAACCGGGGAGGGUCAUUGGAAACUGGGGAACUUGAGUGCAGAAGAGGAGAGUGGAAUUCCACGUGUAGCGGUGAAAUGCGUAGAGAUGUGGAGGAACACCAGUGGCGAAGGCGACUCUCUGGUCUGUAACUGACGCUGAGGAGCGAAAGCGUGGGGAGCGAACAGGAUUAGAUACCCGAGUAGUCCCUGUCUCUUAUAC
rnacentral:rRNA from 1 species